CUCCCGGCGGCCCCGCGGGCCCCGCGCGUUUCCGUUUCCGCGGGUUACCGGCGGCACGGCCCGGACAGCCCGGCCUGGAGCCACACCCGAGCACGGCCUGGGGAGAGGGGGUGGGCCGGGGGAGCUGCUGGUGCCCAGAAACCUUCACGGGGAAAAACCGCUUGGGCUUAAUUACAGUGCGUGGGAGCCGCGGGGGAGGCACGGCAGGGGCGCGGUCACUGCCUGGGCUCGUUACGGGAUCGGGCGCUGAUCUCCCUGCGAGCGGGGACAGGACCGGAGGGAACGGCUGGAGCUGUGUCAGGGCAGGGUCAGCCGUGCCAAGAAAACCAAAAAGAAAGAUCCAAAAGAAGGAAGGAAGAAUCCCAAAGAAUCAGAGAAAUCUCCCAGUCCUUUGAGCUCUUCAGUCUCUUCUUCAGUCAAUGAUUGUGUGUAUGUGCAAUCCCAAAUAAAACCUCUGGCUGACUCCUCUA